rnacentral:misc_RNA from 1 species
GUAGGUGAACCUGCGGAAGGAUCAUUAACGAGUUAGGGUCUUCCAGGCCCGACCUCCCAACCCUAUGUUUAUUGAACCUCUGUUGCUUCGGCGGACCCGUCUCACGGCCGCCGGAGGACCGCUGAAAGGCGUCCUCUGGCCCGCGUCCGCCGAUGGCCAACCACUCAAACUCUGAAUCAAUCGUGUCAUAUGUCUGAGUCUAUGAUUAAAUUAAAGCAAAACUUUCAACAACGGAUCUCUUGGUUCUG